CCGCCGGCGACCGGCGCACGGGUGAGUAACACGUAUGCAACCUGGCCGUGACAGAUGGAUAACCGGGAGAAAUCCCGCCUAAUACAACAUAAUGCCGGGAGGGGACAUCCCCUGCCGGCCAAAGGGGGCGACCCCGGUCACGGAUGGGCAUGCGGCGCAUUAGGUAGUUGGUGGGGCAACGGCCCACCAAGCCGACGAUGCGUAGGGGUUCUGAGAGGAAGGUCCCCCACAUUGGAACUGGGACACGGUCCAAACUCCUACGGGAGGCAGCAG
rnacentral:rRNA from 1 species